GACGAACGCUGGCGGCGUGCUUAACACAUGCAAGUCGAACGGAAAGGCCCUGCUUUUGUGGGGUGCUCGAGUGGCGAACGGGCGAGUAACACGUGAGUAACCUGCCCUUGACUUUGGGAUAACUUCAGGAAACUGGGGCUAAUACCGGAUAGGAGCUCCUGCUGCAUGGUGGGGGUUGGAAAGUUUCGGCGGUUGGGGAUGGACUCGCGGCUUAUCAGCUUGUUGGUGGGGUAGUGGCUUACCAAGGCUUUGACGGGUAGCCGGCCUGAGAGGGUGACCGGCCACAUUGGGACUGAGAUACGGCCCAGACUCCUACGGGAGGCAGCAGUGGGGAAUAUUGCACAAUGGGCGGAAGCCUGAUGCAGCAACGCCGCGUGCGGGAUGACGGCCUUCGGGUUGUAAACCGCUUUCGCCUGUGACGAAGCGUGAGUGACGGUAAUGGGUAAAGAAGCACCGGCUAACUACGU
rnacentral:rRNA from 1 species